CCUACGGGGUGCACCAGUGGGGAAUAUUGCACAAUGGGCGCAAGCCUGAUGCAGCCAUGCCGCGUGUAUGAAGAAGGCCUUCGGGUUGUAAAGUACUUUCAGCGGGGAGGAAGGUGUUGUGGUUAAUAACCACAGCAAUUGACGUUACCCGCAGAAGAAGCACCGGCUAACUCCGUGCCAGCAGCCGCGGUAAUACGGAGGGUGCAAGCGUUAAUCGGAAUUACUGGGCGUAAAGCGCACGCAGGCGGUCUGUCAAGUCGGAUGUGAAAUCCCCGGGCUCAACCUGGGAACUGCAUUCGAAACUGGCAGGCUAGAGUCUUGUAGAGGGGGGUAGAAUUCCAGGUGUAGCGGUGAAAUGCGUAGAGAUCUGGAGGAAUACCGGUGGCGAAGGCGGCCCCUUGGACAAAGACUGACGCUCAGGUGCGAAAGCGUGGGGAGCAAACAGGAUUAGAUACCCCAGUAGUC
rnacentral:rRNA from 1 species